AGAAUCAACGCUGGCGGCGUGCCUCAGACAUGCAAGUCGAACGCGAAAGCCCCCUUCGGGGGGCAAGUAGAGUGGCGCACGGGUGAGUAACACGUAGGUAAUCUACCUUUGGAUGGGGAAUAACGAACCGGAAACGGUUGCUAAAUACCGCAUAAUGCAGCGGCACCUAAUGGUGACAGUUGUUAAAGCGGGGGAUCGAAAGCCUCGCGUCUGAAGAGGAGCCUGCGGCGGAUUAGCUAGUUGGUAGGGUAACGGCCUACCAAGGCUACGAUCC
rnacentral:rRNA from 1 species